rnacentral:misc_RNA from 1 species
ACUUUAUAGGAGCUGUACACAAAAGUGGUGGAGUCACCAUGUUAUUUUCAGGGUCACACGUAGCUGCACUGAAAUUGGCAGGAGAAAACACUCCAACCCAAUCAUCAUUUGACGGGUUGCCUGUGCCAUACUCCAGAGUUAUCCAUUCUUGGUUUAGGCCGUUUGACCCAAGGACAGAAGGAGAUGCUUUGAUAUACGCACGAGCAUCCAAAGCAGCAAUAGCAUUAUGAACAGCAAUCCUUGCUAGAGGAUGAUCUUCAUGAGAUGUUACCCCUUGAAGAGCAACUAGAACCCAUAAAAUGGGCAACAACAUAACGAAUGUUUUCAUUGCAUCCACCUUAUGGCUGAAACUGAAAUGGGUCAAAAAAUUAGAGCUUUGAACUGAAGUUUAAAUAAGAAUUGAUGAUGAAUCAAAUGGGAAAAAGGGUCGGAUAAAUUCUUCGAAUCUUUCUCAAGAUUCGACCAAUCGACCGGAUUUUCAGCAUAAACUGUUGACUUCUAUGAAAAUAUACAUAAAUAGAAACUGA